GGACGAACGCUGGCGGCGUGCUUAACACAUGCAAGUCGAACGGAAAGGCCCUGCUUUUGUGGGGUGCUCGAGUGGCGAACGGGUGAGUAACACGUGAGUAACCUGCCCUUGACUUUGGGAUAACUUCAGGAAACUGGGGCUAAUACCGGAUAGGAGCUCCUGCUGCAUGGUGGGGGUUGGAAAGUUUCGGCGGUUGGGGAUGGACUCGCGGCUUAUCAGCUUGUUGGUGGGGUAGUGGCUUACCAAGGCUUUGACGGGUAGCCGGCCUGAGAGGGUGACCGGCCACAUUGGGACUGAGAUACGGCCCAGACUCCUACGGGAGGCAGCAGUGGGGAAUAUUGCACAAUGGGCGGAAGCCUGAUGCAGCAACGCCGCGUGCGGGAUGACGGCCUUCGGGUUGUAAACCGCUUUCGCCUGUGACGAAGCGUGAGUGACGGUAAUGGGUAAAGAAGCAUCGGCUAACUACGUG
rnacentral:rRNA from 1 species